rnacentral:rRNA from 1 species
CCCUUAGAUGUUCUGGGCCGCACGCGCGCUACACUGUUCGACGCAGCGAGUCUUAACCUUGACCGAAAGGUUUGGGUAAUCUUCAGCAAAGUCGAACGUGAUGGGGAUCGAUCAUUGCAAUUAUUGAUCGUGAACGAGGAAUUCCUAGUAAGUGCAAGUCAUCAGCUUGCGCUGAUUACGUCCCUGCCCUUUGCACACACCGCCCGUCGCUACUACCGAUUGAAUGGUUUAGUGAGAUCUCUGGAUUGACGCUGGCUAGGGGGCGACCCUUGGCCAGACUGUUGAGAAACUGCUCAAACUUGAUCAUUUAGAGGAAGUAAAAGUCGUAACA